UAAUUUAUUUGGGUAUCUUCCACCAGAAUUCUCAGACUUGCCGGAGUUGCGCAUACUUCAGCUUGACAACAACAAAUUUAUUGGCUCUGGGAUUCCAGAUACCUAUGGCAACCUUUCCAAAUUAGCAAAAUUUCACUAAUGAAGGUGAAUUAUUAAGUACUUCUUUGCAAAAUCACAUUCCACUUCUGGAGUCGGGAGGCUUCAAGUGUUUCGCCAUUGUGUUAGUUGAUAAUUUUACUCUUUCGUUUCCUAAUCUUCUUCGAC